CCUACGGGAGGCUGCAGUGAGGAAUAUUGGUCAAUGGACGAGAGUCUGAACCAGCCAAGUAGCGUGAAGGAUGACUGCCCUAUGGGUUGUAAACUUCUUUUAUAAAGGAAUAAAACGAGGCACGUGUGCCUUUUUGCAUGUACUUUAUGAAUAAGGAUCGGCUAACUCCGUGCCAGCAGCAGCGGUAAUACGGAGGAUCCGAGCGUUAUCCGGAUUUAUUGGGUUUAAAGGGAGCGUAGAUGGGUUGUUAAGUCAGUUGUGAAAGUUUGCGGCUCAACCGUAAAAUUGCAAUUGAUACUGGCAGUCUAGAGUACAGUUGAGGUAGGCGGAAUUCGUGGUGUAGCGGUGAAAUGCUUAGAUAUCACGAAGAACCCCGAUUGCGAAGGCAGCUUACUAAACUGUGACUGACAUUGAUGCUCGAAAGUGUGGGUAUCAAACAGGAUUAGAUACCCCUGUAGUC
rnacentral:rRNA from 1 species